rnacentral:pre_miRNA from 1 species
UGAGAGAAGAGAGGUCUAAUAUGAGGAUCAGAGCCUUGUGUGGAAGCCAAGGGUGACUUGCCUGAGCAUUUCAGGAAGGUUUCUAUAUGAAAGCUUUUUGUUAGUUUUGCAGGAAGUCAACCUCGGCUUUCCUGUAGUCUCUUCUUUCUCAUGCUAUGCCUUUCUCUUCUUCCA